CAAAUAGGGCGGCACCUUGACGGUCCCUAACCAGAAGGCCACGGCUACCUACGGGCAAGCGGCGGCGGAAUUACGUAGGUGCCAGGCUUGGUCGGAAUUAAUGGGCCGUAAGGGCUUCGCAGGCGUUUCCUAAGUCCUAAUGGGAAACCCCCCGGGUCAACCGGGGGAGGGUCUUUGAAAACUGGGAAACUUGAGUGCAGAAGAGGAGAGGGAAAUUCCACGUGUAGCGGUAAAAUGCUUAAAGUUGUGAAGGAACCCCGGUGGCAAGGGCGACUCUCGGGUCUGUAACUGACCUUAAGGAGCAAAAGCGGGGGGAGCAAACAGGAUUAAAUACCCGGGUAGUCCAGCCGGUAAACAAUGAGUGCUAAGGGUUAGGGGGGUUUCCGCCCCUUAUUGCUGCACCUAACGCUUUAACAACUCCCCCGGGGGAGUACGGUCCCAGGAUUGAAACUCAAAGGAAUUGACGGGGGCCCGCACAAGGCGGGGGAGCAUGU
rnacentral:rRNA from 2 species